GACGAACCGUGCGAACGUUGUUCGGAAUCACUGGGCUUAAAGGGCGCGUAGGCGGCAGAUCAAGUCCGGGGUGAAAUCCUCCAGCUCAACUGGAGAAGUGCCUUGGAUACUGAUGUGCUCGAGGGAGGUAGGGGUACCGCGGGAACUUCGUGGUGGAGCGGUGAAAUGCGUAGAUAUCGGAAGGAACGCCGGUGGCGAAGCGACACGCUGGCCCUCUUCUGACGCUGAGGCGCGAAAGCCAGGGAGCAACGGG
rnacentral:rRNA from 1 species